UGGGGAAUAUUGGACAAUGGGGGCAACCCUGAUCCAGCAAUGCCGCGUGGGUGAAGAAGGCCUGCGGGUUGUAAAGCCCUUUCGGUGGGAAAGAAAAGCGGGGUGCUAAGACCAUCCCGUCUUGACGUUACCCACAGAAGAAGCACCGGCUAACUCCGUGCCAGCAGCCGCGGUAAUACGGAGGGUGCGAGCGUUAAUCGGAAUCACUGGGCGUAAAGCGCACGUAGGCGGCGAUGUAAGUCAGAUGUGAAAGCCCCGGACUCAACCUGGGAAUGGCAUUUGAGACUGCAUGGCUGGAGUCUGAGAGAGGGGGGUGGAAUUCCAGGUGUAGCGGUGAAAUGCGUAGAGAUCUGGAGGAACACCGGUGGCGAAGGCAGCCCCCUGGCUCAAGACUGACGCUGAGGUGCGAAAGCGUGGGGAGCAAACAG
rnacentral:rRNA from 1 species